rnacentral:misc_RNA from 1 species
CCAUCUAGUUUGUAUUUUUCAGUAUUUUUCAGUACUUUCAUAGCACUAGACCUCUCUGUAAAAUGCACAAAACCAAUUCUAUUCUUCUCCUGGCCAGACUUCGCGGGUGGCAAAACCACUUUUGUAAUUUCUCCAUAGUGUUCAAAUAGCUUCUUCAACUGAUCUUGGGUUGUAUUCUUUGGUAAAUUCUUUACAUAUAUUGCCUUAACCUAUGCAAGACAAGCUUGAGGUUAGAUAAGCAAAUUUAUAGUUCAAACAGCAAGGCAUCACAAUCAUAUCAAGCAGAUAACACCAAACGAAUAAAACUAGUUCAAAAAAUGGUAAGAUUCAACCCAUCAAAUUGAGGUGACAGUGUUCAUCUGAUCAAUAAAACAGGAGUUAAAUCCACCAAUCACUGUGUAGCCUUGGUCUUUCACCUUAUUGACUCACUACCAGUACCAUAUUCGUAAGUAGCUAUUUAAUAACACUCUGAUUUAAGUUUUUCUUCCCAUUUGCGUGACAUCAUGAAAUUAUGAAAGAACUUGUCCAGCCAUUUAAAAGACUGCUUUAAAUUUUUCAUUCCCAUUUACACGAUAACAUGUAUCCAAAUGGGCAUUUUGCACCUCAAACAAAAAUGAUUCUUCUGCACUCAUUAUAACAAACUAAUCAAUGGUCAGAAACGAAGGGAAAAUCAAUAUGGAUUAAAAUUAGAAACCUUUUACAAAACCAGAGGAGAAGCAGAAGUGUUCACUUGCUUAUGCAAAAGGUAAGAGUCUUGGGCUUCCAGCCACUAAAGUGAAGAUUAAAGUUUUUAAAGCAGUCAUUCCUUGCAAGAAUGUUGAGGAUAAGACUGUCCCAAGACCUCACUUGAUAAUAU